AUUGAACGCUGGCGGCAGGCCUAACACAUGCAAGUCGAACGAGUGGCGGACGGGCGAGUAAUGCUUGGGCAUCUAGCUUAUGGAGGGGUCUCACUACGGGAAACUGUAGCUAAUACCGCGUUCCCUAGUUUGAGCCCACGUGGGAUUAGGUAGUGGGUGAGGGAAAGGCUCACCAAGGCGACGAUCUCUAGCUGGUCUGAGAGGAUGACCAGCCACACGGGGAAUGAGACACGGCCCAGACUCCUACGGGAGGCAGCAGUGGGGAAUAUUGCGCAAUGGGGGAAACCUGACGCAGCCAGGCCGCGUGAGUGAAGAAGGCCUUCGGGUUGUAAAGUUCUUUCGGUAGCGAGGCGUUAACUACAGAAGAAGCACCGGCUAACUCCGUGCCAGCAGCCGCGGUAAUUC
rnacentral:rRNA from 1 species